rnacentral:lncRNA from 1 species
GUUUAAAUCUUAUUGUCAUCAAAAAGUAUACAGAUCGUUUGAACAUCAUAAGAAAGAACUAUGUUAAGUUUCAUGAAAUUUGGAUGAGACGUUCUCAAGUUCCGGUGCGACAUGUUUACCCCGGACAGACAGAUGGACAGACGGACAUUUGUAUACCAUAAUACGUCCAGUCAAAAUUUUGACGGGCGUAUAAAAACAAAC